rnacentral:snoRNA from 1 species
GAGUGAAUGAUGAGCAAAUUUAUCGCGGCAUUGUGUCAAACUGUUUUUGGUUUUCGGUU